rnacentral:misc_RNA from 1 species
GAUGAAGAACGCAGCGAAAUGCGAUAAUUAAUGUGAAUUGCAGAAUUCCGUGAAUCAUCGAGUCUUUGAACGCACAUUGCGCCCCCUGGUAUUCCGGGGGGCAUGCCUGUCCGAGCGUCAUUGCUGCCCUCAAGCACGGCUUGUGUGUUGGGCCGUCGUCCCCCUCCUAGGGGACGGGCCCGAAAGGCAGCGGCGGCACCGCGUCCGGUCCUCGAGCGUAUGGGGCUUCGUCACCCGCUCCGUAGGCCCGGCCGGCGCUUGCCGACGACCAUCAAUCUCUUUCUCCAGGUUGACCUCGGAUCAGGUAGGGAUACCCGCUGAACUUAAGCAUAUCAAUAAGCGGAGGA